UACGGAGGGUGCAAGCGUUAUCCGGAUUUACUGGGUUUAAAGGGUGUGUAGGCGGGCUUUUAAGUCAGUGGUGAAAUCUCCGGGCUCAACCCGGAAACUGCCAUUGAUACUAUUAGUCUUGAAUUUUGUUGAGGUAGGCGGAAUAAGUCAUGUAGCGGUGAAAUGCUUAGAUAUGACUUAGAACACCAAUUGCGAAGGCAGCUUGCUAAACAAACAUUGAACGCUGAGGCACGAAAGCGUGGGGAUCAAACAGG
rnacentral:rRNA from 1 species